UGGGGAAUAUUGCGCAAUGCCCGCAAGGGUGACGCAGCGACGCCGCGUGGGUGAAGAAGCUCUACGGAGUGUAAAGCCCUGUCAGAGGGGAAGAACAGCUUGGAUUCGUAAGGAUUCAGGUAUGACGGUACCCUCAGAGGAAGCUCCGGCUAACUCCGUGCCAGCAGCCGCGGUAAUACGGGGGGAGCAAGCGUUGUCCGGAAUCACUGGGCGUAAAGGGCGUGUAGGCGGGCGAUCAAGUCAGAUGUAAAAGGCGACGGCUUAACCGUAGUAUGUCAUCUGAUACUGGUUGUCUUGAGUUCGAGAGAGGGUGGUGGAAUUCCCGGUGUAGCGGUGAAAUGCGUAGAUAUCGGGAAGAACACCUGAAGCGAAGGCGGCCACCUGGCUCGACACUGACGCUGAGGCGCGAAAGCGUGGGGAGCAAACA
rnacentral:rRNA from 1 species